GUCAAGUGUGGGUCUUCUACCGCCAGUCGUGAUCACCCAACUGUCUAUCCUGGACCGGCGAGCUAUCACUCUACAUUCAAGAAAGUCAAAGGAAUGAGCUAUGAAGCCCAGUAAGUAGAUCAAAGCUCCAUGCAUUCCUGCCUAUACACCAUUAUUUACAACUGUCUCCAAAAUUCGUGCAGGUUUCAUAACAUGGAAACAUGUAUCUCAAUUUCAUUAGCAAUUGUUGUGAGUGAUUUCUUUCAUGGUAAAGUAAGCACAAAUCAGAUAUCAGAUAUCCCGUGAACUAAGAGUCUAUCAAAUGUUUUCCAUUAAAUAACAGAUUAAUAAAUUCAAGCAAUCAUAUAUUAACUUAUACAAUCCUAAUGUCGCCUACUUCUGAAGUAGGGCCAAACGAAUCCCAUUGCUUAAGACUUCUACCAUUUUUAGGAAGGAAGACAAUGACAAAUGGAUGACCCAUUUUGUAAUGUCUUCAUAUAUAUACACACAGUCCCUAACGCGCUUUGGGGCUUUUGAUAGGCAGAGGCCUUGCAAGAUACGACCCUCUCCUUAUGUCAUUCUGGUGAGAGAGCGUUACACUACCACUGAGUGACCCAAUGCGUAGUGCCCAUAUAGAUCUAGGGGGCGCGAUCCACCCAAUUAUUCACAUUCACAUCCUAACUCCCCUCCUAUAAUGGGGAGUCAGGGAAAGAUAUCAACUGCCAGUACAACUUUCUUAUCAUAUCACCUUACAUUACACAACCAAUGGAUGACCUGUUGCAUAAUGCCUUAUAUCAAAUUCUUAUCAUACCAUAUCGCACUACCACUGGGUGACUCAUUGCAUAGUGCUUCAUAUCACAUUUGUGGCAUGUCUGAUUAUAACCAUGCACAUUCACUAUCACAUAGGCAUGUCUUAAUACAACCAUGCACAUUCAUCAUCUCAUAGGCAUGUUUGAUUAUAACCAUGCAUAUUCAUUAUCUCAUAAGUAUUCACUAUUUCAUAAACAUUCACCAUUUCAUAAGCAUGUCUUAUUACAACCAUGCAUAUUCAACAUUUCAUAAGCAUUUACUAUUUCAUGGGCAUGUCUUAUUUCAACCAUGCAUAGUCAAUAAUUCAUAAGCAUUCACUAAUUCAUAAGCAUGUUUUAUUACAAGAGAGAAAAAACUACAAUAAUUCAUAAGUAUUCACUAAUUCAUAAGCAUGUCUUAUUACACUAAUAAGAGAGCAGAAACUUCAAUAUGAUAACCCUUAGAAAAAUGGGCAUGGCCUCUAAGACAUACGGAAUUUCAUCAUGGUUCCAAAAGAAUUUUGAAAAUAUACUCACUCAUUUUUCAUUUAGAAGUGGUUUGACCUUAAUAUAAGAUAUAUUGGUCAGUGAACAGUUCCAUAUAAAAGCAUAUAACAGUCCUGGAAAAGAGCAGGAGUUUCAGUAUGGUAGUCUCUUAGAAAAUUGGGCAUAACUUCCAAUCCACAGAGAAUUUGGUCAUGGUUCUAUACCCAUUUUUAAAAUAAACUCAUUUAUCUUUCAUUUAAAAGUGGUUCUCCCUCAAUCAGAGAUAUAUUGGUUAGUGAAACGUUCCACAUAAAAGCAUAUAUCAGUCUUGGAAAAUAGCAGGAAUUUCAAUGAGACAGUCUUUUAGAAACUUGGUCAUAACUUCCAAUCCACAGAGAAUUUUGUCAUGGUUCCAAGAUUAUUUUAAAAUAGACUCACUCAUAUUUUAUUUAAAAUUAUUUUGAACUCAAUUAGAGACAUAUUGGUUAGUGAACAGUUCCGCGUAAAAUCAUAUAAUAGUCCUGAAAAAUAGGAGGAAUUUCAAUAUGACAGUCUCUUAGGAAUUUCAUCAUGGUUCCAAAAGAAUUUUGAAAAUAUACUCACUCAUUUUUCAUUUAGAAGUGGUUUGACCUUAAUAUAAGAUAUAUUGGUAAGUGAACAGUUCCAUAUAAAAGCAUAUAACAGUCCUGGAAAAGAGCAGGAGUUUCAGUAUGGUAGUCUCUUAGAAAAUUGGGCAUAACUUCCAAUCCACAGAGAAUUUGGUCAUGGUUCUACACCCAUUUUUAAAAUAAACUCAUUUAUCUUUCAUUUAAAAGUGGUUUUCCCUCAAUCAGAGAUAUAUUGGUUAGUGAAACGUUCCACAUAAAAGCAUAUAUCAGUCUUGGAAAAUAGCAGGAAUUUCAAUGAGACAGUCUUUUAGAAACUUGGUCAUAACUUCCAAUCCACAGAGAAUUUUGUCAUGGUUCCAAGAUUAUUUUAAAAUAGACUCACUCAUAUUUUAUUUAAAAUUAUUUUGAACUCAAUUAGAGACAUAUUGGUUAGUGAACAGUUCCGCGUAAAAUCAUAUAAUAGUCCUGAAAAAUAGGAGGAAUUUCAAUAUGACAGUCUCUUAGAAAAUUGGGCAUAACUUCCAAUCAAAAGAGAAUUUGGUCAUAGUUCCAAAACCAGUUUAAAAAUAGACCCACUCAUAUUUCAUUUAAAAGUACUUUGGCAUCAAUCAAAGACAUAUUGGUUAGCGAACAAUUCUAAUUAAAAAUAGGCAACGUUCCUGGAAAUUCAUUUUAAAGUUUUGGCAUACUUCAAAGAAUGACUAAUAACUUCGCAACCAAAAUAUGCAUUAAUACAAGGUAUUUUCCAUCUUAAAAUGGAUUCACAGGGGUGAUUUUCCACUGAAUUUCAUAACCACCACAAAUUUCUUCAAGGCUCAAACUAUCACACAAAUAAAAGUCACGGUUAUGGAAAAACAGGUAUCUAUCAUAAUUUCAUUAACAUAUAUCCACCCCAUAGUUACACUUGGAUUUCAUAAUAAGAAAUAAAAAAAAUCAUGGAUGCUAGAUCUACUUACUUGUACCCAAAAGAACUCCAAGUUCCCCCUCAAAUGCCAAGUUUCCAAGGAUGGCCAGCCUAAGGUUCUAAGUGUUUGAAAGAGAGGUCGUGAGUGAGAGAGAGAAAAACUCAUGAGAGGGGUGUGAAGGGGGUUAUAUAAGCAAAGAGGGGGAGGCAGCAGACAGGUGGCAUGCAAAGGGCUACAAGUGGCAUCUAGGUGGCUUACAGUGGCAUACAUGUGUCACAUGGCACUCAUAGAAGUUCCCUAGACAGCCUUAUACAUUCACUCUCAGCAGCAAAGCACACGGAGGUGACGCGCAGGGCUGUGACACGCAUGGCGACGCGCACGGUAGUGAUGCACACGGCGGUAUCAUGCAUGGCGGUGACGUGCACAGUGGUGUCGCCCACGGAGCUGACGCACACGGUGGUGUUGCGCACUGCUGUGAUGCGCACGGCGGUGUCGCUCAUGGCGGUGACACACACAACAACAACCCCAUGCACGCACGGUGGCGUCCUCGUCACGCACGACGGCUUCCUUAUCAUGCAUGAUAGCUUCCUUCAUGCACGCACGACGGCUUCCUUUACGUACGACGACUUCCUUCAUGCACGAUGGCUUCCUUGUCACGCACGGCGGCUUCCUUCAUGCACGACGGGUCCUUACAUCAUCCCCCCUUAAAAGGAUUUUGUCCCCAAAAUCAUACUUAUGUUAAUCGAACAAUUGGGGGUAGUUAUUCCAGAUCUCAUCUUCCCGUUCCCAGGUCGACUCUUCUCGUGAAUGGUAUUGCCGUAAAACACAGACCAGAGGGAUUUCCUUAUUACACAAUACCUGCACCCUUCUGCCUAGUAUUCCAACUGGUUUCUCGAUGAAGGUCAGGUCUUAUCUGAUUGAAACAGGUUCAUACUUCUGAAUAUGGGACGGGUCAGGCUGGUACUUUCUUAACAGAGAUACAUGAAAAACAUUGUGGAUAUUUACCAACUUGGGUAGUAGGGCAAGUCGAUAUGCCAUGCUUCCAACUCUUUCUACAAUCUCAAAAGGUCUCAUAAUUCCCUUAAUCGGCGAUGCCUUCAAGAAAAACUGAUCAUCCACCUCAAACUCGAGGUCUCUUCUUCAGUUAUCGGCAUAACUCUUAUGCCGAUUCUGAACUGUCUUGACUCUCGAAUCAAAGAAAUCUUUUAUGAGGUCACCUGGACAAUUGUUGGCCCUAAGAGCCUUCUUUCACCAAUCUCGUCCCAGCAAAUGGGUGACUAGCACUAUCUUCCAUACAGGGCCUCAAAAGGCACCAUCUGAAUACUAGUUUGGAAGCUGUUAUAUUAUAGGCGAAUUCAAUCAGAGGAAAGUGAUCAUCCCAGCUUCCCUUAAAAUCAAAGAUACAAGCCCUUAACUUAUCUUCCAAAGUAUUAAUGAUUCUCUCUGAUUGUCCAUCAGUUUGGGGGUGAAAGGCAUUGCUAAAAGUAUGUCUCACCCCCAAGGCUACCUGUAGACCAGCCCAAAAUCUAGAGGUAAAUCUAGUGUCCCUGCAGGACACGAUGCUGACGGGUAUUCCAUGCAACCUUACUAUCUCCUUGAUGUAUAAUUAGGCCAGUUUAUCCAAGGUGUAGGUCGUGCCGAUCAACAAGAAGUGGGUAACUUUGGUCAGCUGGUCUACCACGACCCAAAUACUAUCAUGCCCAGAACUCGUUCUUGGCAACGCAGAGACAAAGUCCAUAGCAAUGUGCUCCCAUUUCCAUUUUGGCACAGGUAAGGGCUGCAACAAUCCAACGGGUUUAUGAUGCUUGGCUUUCACUUGCUGGCAUGUCAAACACCUAGAAAUAAACAAUGUUAUUUCCUUUUUCAUGUCAUUCUAUCAGAAAAUUUUCUUCAGGUCCUUAUACAUUUUAGUACUCCCAAGAUGUAUAAUAUAACGAGAGCGGUGAGCUUUCUCUAAGAUAGCUCUCUUUAGUUUGGAAGCUGUUAUAUUAUAGGCGAAUUCAAUCAGAGGAAAGUGAUCAUCCCAGCUUCCCUUAAAAUCAAAGAUACAAGCCCUUAACAUAUCUUCCAAAGUAUUAAUAGUUCUCUCUGAUUGUCCAUCAGUUUGGGGGUAAAAGGCAGUGCUAAAAGUAUGUCUCACCCCCAAGGCUACCUGUAGACCAGCCCAAAAUCUAGAGGUAAAUCUAGUGUCCCUGUCGGACACGAUGAUGACGGGUAUUCCAUGCAACCUUACUAUCUCCUUGAUGUAUAAUUAGGCCAGUUUAUCCAAGGUGUAGGUCGUGCUGAUCAGCAAGAAGUGGGCAACUUUGGUCAGCUGGUCUACCACGACCCAAAUACUGUCAUGCCCAGAACUCGUUCUUAGCAACCCAGAGACAAAGUCCAUAGGAUUGUGCUCCCAUUUCGAUUUUGGCACACGUAAGGGCUGCAACAAUCCAACGGGUUUAUGAUGCUUGGCUUUCAUUUGCUGGCAUGUCAAACACCUAGAAAUAAACAAUGUUAUUUCCUUUUUCAUGUCAUUCCAUCAGAAAAUUUUCUUCAGGUCCUUAUACAUUUUAGUACUCCCAAGAUGUAUAAUAUAACGAGAGCGGUGAGCUUCCUCUAAGAUAGCUCUCUUUACAUCCUCAUCAUUUGGAAUACAGACCCGAUUAUUGAAUCUCAACAAGUCAUCACUGCUUAUAGUGAAAUCGUCUUUCCUUCCCAGCUUUACCUCUUUUAAAAUUUUCACGAGCUGGGGAUUCUUCUUUUGCGCUAGCCGGAUCUGUUGAAAAGCUAGGGCUCUAUCCUUAUGCAAGCUGUCAUAAUUACCCCAUCACCAAGGGGCAGAGCUGGGUGCCAUCAAACUACAUCCUCUAACAACUUCAUCUCUCAAACCAUUAGAUGAACUAUUGAUAUUACGUUUCCUCCGUUCUCUGUCUUCAUAGACGGCAGUACAAGCCGCCGUCUGUGCACUCUCAUUCUCUCUUCUCUCUCUUCACAGACGACAACUAAGCCGCCUUUUGUGCUCUACCUUCUGUGCUCUAUAUUCCUCUUUUCUCUCUCUUCUCUUUCUUUCUUCUUUCUCUCUCUUCUCCUUCUCUCUUCUUUCUUAAAUUUCUUGUUUCUUUUUAUUAUCUUCUUCUUUGAAGGAUUUGGGUGGAAAACAAACCAAUCUUCUCUCUUUCUUUCUCUUUAUUCAUUUGCAUGAUGAUGGACUAGUUGAAAGGCAUACUAACCCUUCGUUUGUCUUUUCUUUAAAAAUGUUUCUCUUUACUUUCUCUCUGAAGGACUAGUUGGACAGCAUACUGGCCCUUUUCCUUUCUAUCUCUACUUUCUUCUCUCUCUUCCUAAAGAACCAGGUGAAAGCCAAACUGAUCUUCGGUCCUCUGUUCUACUCUUUCCUUUUUCUGUAUUUCUUUGUCUCUCCCUCAUUUUCUUCAUCUCACCCCCUUUUGCUUUCAUUUUCUUUUUAAGAAAUAAUGUCGUGACUGUCUUGUUAAGAAGAUGUUGGAAGGCUGUCCGAUUGACAUAGACCCAAUUGCAUCGUUCCCUCAUUAUUCCCCUCUAAUGUACACACUUGUGUGCAUUCAUUCAAAGACAAUGUAGGGUCUUCUGACACACUUAUCUGUAUUAUAAUGUGUGUUUGUGAUCGCAGGAAAGAAGAAACAGGUUAAGGGAGGCGAUUCCGAACCGGCCUCUGGCCAGGUGGGCAUUCCACAUAAUCUAAGAGGGCACCUAUAUGAGCUAGCCCACGCAUGUCACGAACCCACGUGAGGUAAGCCCCACCUCAUGACCCAAAUUUCUCUCUCACUGGUUGGUAUUCCUGCCUGUGUCUCCUUACGCAGUUCCUGAGAGAGCGAUCUCAGGUCCCAGAUCUUUCUCGAACUUGAAACCACACCACCAGAUCAUCUCGACCCAAAGGACGAGAUCGACGCACCUAAUCAUUUGUAUCGCCUUGUUUAACCCAUUUAGAAUGUGAUCUCUGAAACUAGAAGAUCUCAAGCAAUUGCAGAUAAUUAUCAAGCUCCAUUUUUUUGACAUUUCUGUCUGACAAUUGAUCAGUGUUCAAACCACCCAUGAAUAGUUCCAUAGAGUUAAGAUUAGAAAUCUCUUGUUCUAAGCUACCGAUAUUCCCAUCCAAGUUCUCGAAUUUGUUUCUACCCCAAACCUUUAAAUUAUUUUUCAAAAGCUUAAGUUUGCAAAGAAGGAACAAAAUCCGGACAUUGGUGAGACAUAACUGUGGCCCAAGAGGAUUUAACAACCUUAGCGAAGGUCUUGUCCUCCAACCACAUCAAUUCAAAACGAAAGGGAUGAGGUUCGGAAGCCACCCCAAAAAAAUCAAGCAAAAUAAGAGUUGGGUCGGAAGCAAAUUGGAGAAGAGCCUUAACCAUCGCUUUAGGGAACUGCUCAGCCCAUUCAAUAGAGAUCAGAAAAUGAUCCAGCUUGGACAUUUUCGGGUCACCAGCUGAUUUAUUGGACCACGUAAAGGUCGUGCCCAAAAUAUCAUAAUCAAAUAAAGAAUGGGCAGUAAUAAAAUUGUCAAACUUUUUAUUAGUUUCCCCUAAUUAGACCAUUCAACUUGGGGAUACUCAUGGUGGUGAGUCCGAGUUACUCGAGCAAGGCCAAGUUAGCCCGCCCUAGUUUUUUUGAAUUGAUCUGAAUUAUUGAGGGCCCCCUUUUUUUUGGGUAAUUCAGUGGAGAAGACACGCCCCUACUUGCUUUUUUUCAAUAGAUUAGCGAGUUAUAUUUUGAAAGUGUUAAUUGUGAGUUAAAAAAUAAAUGUGAGCAGAUAAAGAAGAAGAAGAAGAAGAAGAAGGCAAUCAGAUUUUAGCGUGGUUCGACAGAGCUUGUCUACAUCCACGAGUAUCAAUUCUCUAUUACUUUUUGUUAUAUCUUUUCAACAGACUUUACAAGGUAUGUAUGCACAAAACAAAAGAAUGACCCAGAAGGAAACUCCCCAAAUUAAUAAGAUAUUGUGAUCCCAAUCAUCCCAAAAGAAUAACAACAAAUAAAACAACCCUAAUAACUUAAGAAACUGUAGGGUUGACCGUGAAUCCUUCAACACUCCCCCUCAAGUUGGUGUGUAAAUAUCAAUUGAGCCCAACUUGCUCAAAGCUUGGAAAAAAUUAGUCCUUGAAAUAGCCUCGGCAAAAAUAUCUGCUAGUUGGUCUUUACUUUGAACAAAUGUAGUGUUAAUAAUUCCAGCUUAGACAUUAUCAUGGACAAAGUGACAGUUUACCUCAAUUUGUUUAGUCGUUUCAUGAAAAAUAGGAUAAGAAACAAUAUGAAUGGCAACCCGAUUGUCACAAAACAUUUUCAUUGGCAAUUUCACUUGAAAUCCGAGGUCCUGAAAGAGAAACUUCAACCAAACAAGUUCACUUGUAGUUGCAGCUAUGGCUCUAUAUUCGGCUUAUGCGCUUGAUCUGGCGACCACACUUUGCUUUUUACUUUUCCAAGUGACAAGGUUUCCACUUACCAUUCUACAAAACCUAGUAGUAGACCUUCGAUCAUUCGGGCAUCCAGCCCAAUCAGCAUUAGAAUAUCCGACAAUAUCAAUGUGAUUAUUACAUUUUAGCCAAAUUCCUCUUCCAAGGUAGGAUUUUAGAUACCGAAGGAUUCUUUCAACAACAAUCAUAUGACUAGUUCUUGGGGCAUGCAUAAAUUGACUAACUUGGCUAACAACAUAAGCGAUAUCUGGUCUAGUAAUAGUCAAAUAGAUUAGUUUCCCAACAAGUCUUUGAAAUCUAUCAAUAUUUUUAAGAGGCUCCCCUUCAUAAGAAGUAAGUUUAUUAUUCAAGUUGAAUGGAAUAUCAAGAGGUUCAACCCCAAGUUUUCCAAUAUCUUUUAAGAGAUCCAAACAUGCUUUAUUUGAGAUAUAAAAAUUCCCUUUUUGGAGUAUGCAACCUCAAUUCCAAGAAAGUACUUGAGUUAUCCUAAAUCCUUAAUAUCAAAUUUGCUUUGAAAAUAUCAUUUUAGCUUUGAAAUUCCUUCUUUGUCGUUACCAGUUAUUACAAUAUCAUCAACAUAUACAAGGAUAACAACAAUUCCAUUUUUUCCAUUCUUCCCGAAUAAGAAAGAGUCGGUAGAGCCAUUUUUAACUAUAUUUAAAAGAGUAGUACUCAGCUUUGUAUACCACGCUCUCAGAGAUUGUUUGAGUCCAUAUAGAGUCUUUUUAAGUAUAUAGGUAAGUUCAGGAUUUCCUUCUUUAGGAUGACCUAGAGGAAUGUUCAUGUACACUUCUUCCUCAGGAUCUCCAUAAAGGAAUGCAUUUUUAACAUCCAUUUACCACAAAGACCAUCCACAAUUUACAACAAUGGAGAGAAGAACCCGAAUAGUACCCAUCUUAGCAACAUGGGCAAAGGUUUCCUUAUAAUCCACACCAUAUGUUUGGGUAAAAUUUUUGGCAACAACUCUUGUCUUAUGUCUCUCAAUGGUACCAUCACUAUUGUAUUUAAUUUUGAAAACCAUUUACAACAAACAACCUUUGUUUUUCUUUGGGUAAACGAACUAUAUCCCAAGUAUGGAUUUUAUCAAGGGCUAAUAGUUCAUCUUCCAUGGCUUUCCUCCAGACAGGUUGAGAGUACGCAUCAUUAAAAUUACUGGGUUCAACAUUAUUAGAAAUAGAACUUAAAAAAGCAGAGUACUUUCAAGAAAUGUUUUUGUAGCAAAUUUGAUUUUGAAUAGGAUGAGAAACAACAUGAUAAGUAAAAAAGUCCUGCAAUCUUGAAGGAGGGCGAGUAACACGAGACGACUUGCGAAGGGGAGGAUCAGGAGGAUGGGACACGGGGUUAUUACCUCUUGGAGUGUCAUUAUCAUUACCAGCUUCAUUCUCAUUGUCAUUGUCAAUAUUCUGAUUCUCCAGAUUUCUUUCAUAAGAGUUGUUGUUUUGUCUAAUAGGAACUGGAAGAGGAUAUUCCCCAUGAGCUCUAUUUUCAGCUAAUUCAGAGUUGGGUUGAAAAUAGGGUUCAUCCUCAAACAUUGAACAUUUCUAGAAAUAAAUAAUGUUUUUUGUAUUGGACUAUAAUAUUUGUACCCUUUCUUUUUGUGGAGGAAUAUCCAACAAAAAUACACUUAUUAGCUCGAGAAUCAAGGUUAUGAUCAAGAAUAUGAGAAAAACAAACACACCAAAAAACACGUAGGUAAGCGAUGUUAAUCUUCCUUUUAUUUAAAACUUCAAGAGGGGAUUUAUCAUAGAGAACCUUACUAGGAAGUCUAUUAAUAAGGUAACAGGCAGUCAAGACAGCUUCAGACCAAAAUCUUUUUGGAACAUUUUUCUCAAACAUUAAGGAUCUAGCAACCUCAAGAAUGUGCCUAUUUUUCCUUUCAGCAACCCCAUUCUGCUGGGGGGUCCCGACACACGAGGUCUGAUGUAUAAUGCCAAGACUAGUAAGGUACUCAGAAAAAGUUUUAUUAACAUACUCAGUGCCAUUAUCAGAUCGAAAAUUUUUUAAUAUUGGCAUUACACUGAUUGGACACAAGAGCAUUAAAUUCCUUAAAGGUCUGAACCUCAUCUUUUGAUUUUAAAAGAUAUAUCCAAGUUGCACGUGACCAAUCAUCAGUAAAUAAAAUAAAGUAUCUAUGCUCAGAAUAACUAUCAAUAGGGGCAGGUCCCCAAACAUCUGAGUGAACUAACUAAAGGAGCCCAUUACAAUCAUGCAUAGACUUCUGAAAAGGAAGUUUGGUCUGUUUAGAAAAUUGACAAGUAUUACACCCAUGAAAAUCAAUACUAAGAUAAGGAAUCAAAAUGUGUAAAGUAUGAUCAAAAGGGUGAGCAACUCUAGCAUGCCACAACUUGCUACUGAAAUACUUAGCCACCAAGGCUUUAUUUUCUUGAUCCAGAAUAUAUAAUCCAUUCGAAAUUCUCCCUUCACCAAUCUUCCUCCCUGUGGCCCGAUCUUGAAAAACAACAUUAAAAGGAAAAAAAGAACAUUGUAAUUUAGAUCUUUGGUUAUCUUGCUCAUGGACAACAAAUUUGAAGGAAAUGAUGGUAGAAACAGUACUUCAGAAUCAUGAGAGUUAGAGCCAAUUUCAGAUUUUUCGAAACCGUGAACAAGAAUAAUUGAACCAUUGGAUAUGGAUAUGGGAGGCUUACUAGAAGAUUUCUCAUAACUGGUUAAGCUCUUAAGAUUACCAGUCAUAUGAUCAAUAGCCCAUGAAUCAAUAACCCAAGAAUGAAUAUUUGAAUGAGAAUGAAAAGAGUAUGGUGAGGAAUUGCCUAGGGAGAGUCAUAUGUAGAGAUAUUGCCACUCUUACCAUACUGUUGAAAAAAUUGAGCAAUUUUUUUCAGAGUAAUUUGUGAAUCAGUUGUGGAUGCUUGGGAGCCAGUUCUUUCACCUCCUAUAUCCUAGGAAGGUCUCAAGUGGAGAUGUAAAAGCCAACAUCGGUCUUUUGUAUGACCAAGAGCUUUGCAAUGAUCACAUUUAAAAGGGGGUCCUUCCUCCAUUUGGAAGCCUUCUACCAUGUCCACGAAAACCACGUCUACCUCUUGUUUCAUUAUUAGUAGACUUCUUGUUUUCAAAUUUCUAAUUAUUUGCAACAAAGGCAGACUUCUCAAUCACCUCAGUAUUAUUUUUUUCAUGAUUCAUCACCUUCGUCCUAAUUUUUUCUCUUAAGACAGCAGAGUAAACACUUGCGAAACUAGGGAGUUCAGCUGACAUCAAUGUUUGACUACUUAACCUCUCAUAUUCAGGUUUUAAAGCAGCAAGAAACUGUAAAAGUUCGCCUUGUUAAACACGUUUUUGGAUGACGGCCAAGUCAGUAGUGCCAGGAGAAUAAGUGGCCAACUCAUCCCACAUUGGUUUGAGACUGGCAACUAACUCAGUUACUGAUUUUUCCUAUUUAAUCUGAGAUAUUUCUUGCUUCAAUUGAUAUAUGCGAGCUAUAUUAUUUUGAUUACCAUAUACAGACUUAUUAGAUUCCCAUAAUUGUUCAGCUGUGUCUGAGUGGGUGAAUAUUUCAGCAAUUGCAGGUUGCAUGGAAUUCAAAAUCCAAGACAUAACCAUUUGAUCAUUGGCUUGCCAAUCUUCAUAUGUAGGAUCAUUAGAUUGAGGCGUCUUUGUCUUUCCAGUGAUAUAACCAAACUUAUAUUUUCCACCGAAGGCCAAAGAUACAGCCCUUGACCAGACAAUAUAAUUGAGUCCAUUGAGCGAGGUAGUAGUUAGUUUAAUACUAGUAUUGGACUCAAAAUCAUGUGUGGAAGAUUUAGAGUUAUUAUCCUUAUCAGUCAUAAGAAAAAAAGUGCCCUGAUUAAAGAUGACAAAGGCGAUGAUCAAAACAGAAAUUCCAAGAAAUAACAAAGAAUAACACCUCCACCAAAAUUAAAUCUCAUAUCCAAAAACUGAUGAACGCAACCACCAAUUCUACAAGGAAAACGCAGCCCAAAAAACCUCAUGGAAAGGGAGUGAAAGUCAAUUUAGUAAAAGAAGCCAAGAAUUUUACCCCCAACAUUCUUUCACAGUAGAUGUUGUCAACACGAUAAAGCCAAACUUUCUUGAGGGAAGAGCUCUCAAAACUUUCACAGCAGAGACGAGUUGCAGAGCCUUAUCAGCUUCAAAUUCACAUAGAAGAACGCUGCUCAGAAUGUAGCAAACCUCUGAGUAGCACAAGCAAAUCUCUGCAAAUAAGAAAAAAAUAUCUGUCCAAUAUCUAUUCCCUGAAUCACAGAAAGAAGAAGAAUAGGACGAUGCGAACUGCUGCCAGAAAAAGAAUGGCAAAUUUGCAAAACUAUAACACGCCGCAACCAAAACAAAUCUAUGAAAUUGUAGAGGUUAAGAAUAGAGUUUCUUUCCAUCGAUCUUCUAGCAAAAAUACAGCAAGAGAUAUCUGGCUCUUGCAUCACUAGGUCAAAGAAACUACAACGAUAAUGAUAGAUCACAGCAGAGAGCUUCCACAGAACCUUGCUAGACCUUCUGCGAAAGUUUCGACAAAAGAUUGCAACUGGAUGAAGGCCAAUGAAGAAAAAAUGAUGAGAAAUGGAUCGCUAUAAAAUAAAUGUGAGAAGAUAAAGAAAAAGAAGAAGAAGGCACUCAGAUUUUAACAUGGUUCGGUAGACCUUGCCUACAUCCACGAGUAUCAAUU
rnacentral:lncRNA from 1 species